rnacentral:tRNA from 1 species
UCCCUGGUGGCUCAGACCAUAGAGCCUCUGCCUGCAAUGCGGGAGACCCUGGUUCAAUUCCAGGGUCGGGAA